AUAGGUAGAAAGAAUUUGUGAUUUUCUAAGUGUUAUUAUCCUUCGAUUUUUCUUUAAAUCUUUCACAUCUUUUAUUUCUAAACUGUUCAGUAUGCAAGGGAUCAAUCCCUGAGCUGACAAGGUCCCUGGAGAAAGCCAUUGAAGGCCUGCGCUGCCGCUAUGGGAUCCCAUCCACUACAAUAUAACUAGUUCCAGCCAUUUCAUUGACAUGAGCUUCUCAGAUGACAUCUUGGGGAGGAGAUGGACACGGUUUACCGUGAAGGCCUGCUCAUAAACUCUCUAGUGGGAUGUAACAAAUCUAGGUAUUGCACAGACGUCUUGAGAAAAUUUGCAACAAACAUCAAAGGAUGGUGGAAAAUGAAAGUAAAUCUCACCUGCAUCUUUUACUUUCAAUUCUUAGAAUGACUGAACUAGCUGGCAGUACAAGAAUGUUCAUGUCUUUCAAUUGUUAGACACGGAGGAAGAAACGUGGUGCCUUGAUAAACUCAUUGAGUUCUGUGGAGUCAUCACUUGCAUUAUUGAUUCUUGGAUGUUUGUACUUU